rnacentral:rRNA from 1 species
CGGCCGCAAGGUUAAAACUCAAAUGAAUUGACGGGGGCCCGCACAAGCGGUGGAGCAUGUGGUUUAAUUCGAUGCAACGCGAAGAACCUUACCUACUCUUGACAUCCAGCGAACUUAGCAGAGAUGCUUUGGUGCCUUCGGGAACGCUGAGACAGGUGCUGCAUGGCUGUCGUCAGCUCGUGUUGUGAAAUGUUGGGUUAAGUCCCGCAACGAGCGCAACCCUUAUCCUUUGUUGCCAGCGAUU